rnacentral:misc_RNA from 1 species
AAGUCGUAACAAGGUUUCCGUAGGUGAACCUGCGGAAGGAUCAUUAACGAAUAGCUAUGGUGUCUUGGUUGUAGCUGGCUCCUCGGAGCAAUGUGCACGCCCGCCAUUUUUAUCUUUCCACCUGUGCACCGACUGUAGGUCUGGAUACCUCUCGCCCUUCACGGGGCGGAUGCGAGGAUUGCUCGUAAGGGCUCUCCUCGAAUUUCCAGGCUCUACGUCUUUUUACACACCCCAAUAGUAUGAUGUAGAAUGUAGUCAAUGGGCUUCUUAGCCUAUAAAACACUAUACAA